rnacentral:rRNA from 1 species
UACGGGGGGGGCAAGCGUUGUUCGGAAUUACUGGGCGUAAAGGGCUUGUAGGUGGCCAACUAAGUCAGACGUGAAAUCCCUCGGCUUAACCGGGGAACUGCGUCUGAUACUGGAUGGCUGGAGUGUGGGAGAGGGAUGCGGAAUUCCAGGUGUAGCGGUGAAAUGCGUAGAUAUCUGGAGGAACACCGGUGGCGAAGGCGGCUCGCUGGGACGGUACUGACGCUGAGACGCGAAAGCGUGGGGAGCGAACAGG